rnacentral:tmRNA from 1 species
GGGGAUGCAAUGGUUUCGACGGGGAUUCUGAGGUACGAUAAGCGCAGCGAGCCGGGUAAUCUCGUGAACUGCCCAACUUUUAAAAUUAAACGACAACAAUACUGUUGCUUUGGCUGCCUAAGUUCUUUCCCGUAAGGGAUUGAACCGGCAGUGCUGUGGUCUGCGGACCACCCGUUCCUCCGGAGAGGACCACGACUCCGGACUGAGCGUCAUCGCAGUGGUGCACCUGCAUCGGUCUUUCGCCCUUGAACCGGUCAGGCACAAAAGGGCUACUCCAAAGGAGAGGAUGUCUGCUUCCGCUCCCGCGGGGGAAUGUUAAAUAACAGACUGCCUGCGAAGAAAGUCGUAUCAAGGGGUUUUCGGACAUGGGUUCGAUUCCCAUCAUCUCCACCA